AUCACGGGAGACACACGGCGGGUGCUAACGUCCGUCGUGAAGAGGGAAACAACCCAGACCGCCAGCUAAGGUCCCAAAGUCAUGGUUAAGUGGGAAACGAUGUGGGAAGGCCCAGACAGCCAGGAUGUUGGCUUAGAAGCAGCCAUCAUUUAAAGAAAGCGUAAUAGCUCACUGGUCGAGUCGGCCUGCGCGGAAGAUGUAACGGGGCUAAACCAUGCACCGAAGCUGCGGCAGCGAACGUAUCACCCAAGACAACUUUACGGAGUUGACGAUUGACGGAGCGAAGCGACGUCAAAGCGUUCAUUAAAGUCGAGUUGGCUUAGGGAUACGUUCGUUGGGUAGGGGAGCGUUCUGUAAGCCUGUGAAGGUGUGUCGUGAGGCAUGCUGGAGGUAUCAGAAGUGCGAAUGCUGACAUAAGUAACGAUAAAGCGGGUGAAAAGCCCGCUCGCCGGAAGACCAAGGGUUCCUGUCCAACGUUAAUCGGGGCAGGGUGAGUCGACCCCUAAGGCGAGGCCGAAAGGCGUAGUCGAUGGGAAACGGGUUAAUAUUCCCGUACUUGGUGUUACUGCGAAGGGGGGACGGAGAAGGCUAUGUUGGCCGGGCGACGGUUGUCCCGGUUUAAGCGUGUAGGUGUGUGUUCCAGGUAAAUCCGGUUCACUUUAACACUGAGGCGUGACGACGAGGCACUACGGUGCUGAAGCAACAAAUGCCCUGCUUCCAGGAAAAGCCUCUAAGCAUCAGGUAACACGAAAUCGUACCCCAAACCGACACAGGUGGUCAGGUAGAGAAUACCAAGGCGCUUGAGAGAACUCGGGUGAAGGAACUAGGCAAAAUGGUGCCGUAACUUCGGGAGAAGGCACGCUGACACGUAGGUGAAGUGAUUUACUCAUGGAGCUGAAGUCAGUCGAAGAUACCAGCUGGCUGCAACUGUUUAUUAAAAACACAGCACUGUGCAAACACGAAAGUGGACGUAUACGGUGUGACGCCUGCCCGGUGCCGGAAGGUUAAUUGAUGGGGUCAGCGCAAGCGAAGCUCCUGAUCGAAGCCCCGGUAAACGGCGGCCGUAACUAUAACGGUCCUAAGGUAGCGAAAUUCCUUGUCGGGUAAGUUCCGACCUGCACGAAUGGCGUAAUGAUGGCCAGGCUGUCUCCACCCGAGACUCAGUGAAAUUGAACUCGCUGUGAAGAUGCUGUGUACCCGCGGCAAGACGGAAAGACCCCGUGAACCUUUACUAUAGCUUGACACUGAACAUUGAGCCUUGAUGUGUAGGAUAGGUGGGAGGCUUUGAAGUGUGGACGCCAGUCUGCAUGGAGCCGACCUUGAAAUACCACCCUUUAAUGUUUGAUGUUCUAACGUGGACCCGUAAUCCGGGUUGCGGACAGUGUCUGGUGGGUAGUUUGACUGGGGCGGUCUCCUCCUAAAGAGUAACGGAGGAGCA
rnacentral:rRNA from 1 species